AUACGGAGGGUGCAAGCGUUAUCCGGAUUCAUUGGGUUUAAAGGGUACGUAGGCGGAUAGAUAAGUUAGUGGUGAAAUCCCGAAGCUCAACUUCGGAACUGCCAUUAAAACUGUCUAUCUUGAAUUUGGUUGAAGUGGGCGGAAUAUGACAUGUAGCGGUGAAAUGCAUAGAUAUGUCAUGGAACACCGAUAGUGAAGACAGCUCACUAAGCCAAUAUUGACGCUGAGGUACGAAAGCAUGGGUAGUGAACAGGAUUAGAAACCCGAGUAGUCC
rnacentral:rRNA from 1 species